rnacentral:rRNA from 1 species
CCUACGGGAGGCAGCAGCGGGGAAUCUUGGACAAUGGGCGCAACUGAUCCAGCCAUGCCGCGUGAGUGAAGAAGGUCUUCGGAUUGUAAAGCUCUUUUACCAGGGACGAUAAUGACGGUACCUGGAGAAUAAGCCCCGGCAAACUUCGUGCCAGCAGCCGCGGUAAU